GAUCCAACAGAUGCUGCGUGUUGAGAAUCCAUCACGCCCUUGGUGAUGGGGUGUCGUUCAUGGCACUUUUUUUAGCCUCCUGCAAAAGAGUCGACGAUCCUACUCUACCGCCAACGAUCCCGGAGAAGGAGACAAAAAGUAAAACGACGGUGAUGAAGAGAAUGUCUUUUUUGCAGAAAACGUGGAGGUUGAUAAAAGUAGCGGGGUAUACUCUGCUUUACCUUACGGAUUUUAUUCUGUAUAGCUUUUGGACGAAGGAUGAGAAGACUCCGAUCAGCGGCGGCGAUGGGGUGGAGCUUUGGCCGAGAAUGGUCAGAAACG
rnacentral:lncRNA from 1 species